CAAUCGCCAACACUGGGACAAUUUCGAAACGUAUAGAGUGUUAUUUUACACUACAGCCGAAGGGCGAGAGGUCAACCUUAUUAUCGACUAGGCAAGGCGAGAUAAUCUUCACUUUAAGGCGAUUGGGUGGUGGCCAAUUGAAACUAACUGCCCCCACACACGUAAUGAUGUAAAAGGACGGACGGAUGCAGCGACCACGAAUUAUGUUUUAUGUUGUUCUUAUGGUAAAUUUAAACUGACAGCGCAAAAGAGCUGACGAAGGGUCCAAAUAUGUACCGCAUUGCAAAAAACUACGAAAAGCAACUUACCAUUCGUCGUGGGUUGAAAUUGAGCCAAUGUGCUUGAUGGUGCUGCUGCG